rnacentral:rRNA from 1 species
CACGUAGGGUGCGAGCGUUGUCCGGAAUUAUUGGGCGUAAAGAGCUCGUAGGCGGUGUGUCGCGUCGGCCGUGAAAACCUGCAGCUUAACUGUGGGCUUGCGGUCGAUACGGGCAUCACUGGAGUUCGGCAGGGGAGACUGGAAUUCCUGGUGUAGCGGUGAAAUGCGCAGAUAUCAGGAAGAACACCCGUGGCUAAGGCGGCUCUCUAGUACGUGACUGACGCUGAGACGCGAAAGCGUGGGGAGCGAACAGG